rnacentral:piRNA from 1 species
UGGUAGGCCCACAACUUCCCUAAGCCAAGC